rnacentral:tRNA from 1 species
GAGGCAGGCCAUGGCUCAGGGGUCGAGCAACUGCCUGGCAUGCAGAAAACCCUGGUUCGAUCCCCUGGGUUGCCUCU